rnacentral:rRNA from 1 species
GAUGAACGCUGGCGGCGUGCUUAACACAUGCAAGUCGAGCGAGAAACUACAUGCAGACACUUCGGUAGAAGCGAGUAGCGGAAAGCGGCGGACGGGUGAGUAACGCGUAGGCAACCUGCCCUUCACAGAGGUAUAGCCUCGGGAAACCGGGAUUAAAACCACAUAAAAUCAUAGGUUCGCAUGAACCAAAGGUCAAAGAUUUAUCGGUGAAGGAUGGGCCUGCGUCUGAUUAGCUGGUUGGUAGGGUAAAAGCCUACCAAGGCGACGAUCAGUAGCCGACCUGAGAGGGUGAUCGGCCACAUUGGAACUGAGACACGGUCCAAACUCCUACGGGAGGCAGCAGUGGGGGAUAUUGCACAAUGGGGGAAACCCUGAUGCAGCAACGCCGCGUGAGGUAUUUU